rnacentral:tRNA from 4 species
GGAAGAAUGGCUGAGCGGCUGAAAGCGCUGGUUUGCUAAAUCAGUAUACAGAUUUUUUGUAUCACGGGUUCGAAUCCCGUUUCUUCCG